UGAUUUUCACCCAACAAACCAUUAAGCCCUGUUUUGAGCCGAAUAAUGACUAUUCAACAGCACUUCAGUGCCUGUUAGCCGUGUUGAAUGUUUUUAAUUGUUAAUAGGCCCUGUGGGAAUCAAGCAGCGAAGAAGGUUGUGUAUUAGUUCGUAUACCCUGUCAGGAAGGUUUGCUCAAUCGGGCCGAUUACAAAACAGAGAUGCCAGCACUCGAAUUCUAGCGGUUAGAAUUCGAUCUAUUAUCGGCUCGAUUUCCAUCCGCCUGCUCGAUUGCUCGAAAACCGACGAUAUUUUUUGCAGUGCUGCUAUGAACAAAACGAAACACGAGCAGUUUUCAAUUGCAGCAAUCUGGGCGCGUGUUUCGUUUUGGUGCGUGAUUGUUGUGUUGUGAAUGUUUCCGCUGUUUUUGUUCAGAAACAUUUUGAGCGCUGUAGUAAAAAAAACCAUUGUCCGGCGAUAAUUUAAUAAUAAGCAAGGUAUGUUAAGAUUGAUUGAAUUCUAAACAAUCAAGUUUUAUUUACAUAUAUAAUUUUCUAACCCAUUAUCGUCCCCACAGUAAACAUCGGCUCAUGCAAACAAAGCUUCCAAGGAAAUGUCCCGUGGGUAAAAGCUUUGGUGGAAUUUCAUCCGGACCCACUCAGAGGUGGUCGCUUCACUUGGAUGACUUUUAAUUAGUUUUUGGCGUGAUACUUAAAAGUGGAAAGCAAGAUCUCUUGCGCUUGCAGUUCCAUGAUGUUAACGUAUGAAGUCGUAUGGGGUAUAUGGUCGACUUUGCCGGUCCAUCAUUUUAAUGCAAAAAAAACGCGCACAACAGAAGAAGAGAAAAUCAAACAUAAAACUGGCCCCGUUUCCGUUUGUGAAGCUGUUUUCAUUAGUGGUUGCACUAAGCAAUAGCUAAUGCCUUCUUCAGCAGUCUCGCCAAACUGGAAAAGCGGUGAACUUGACGGUAAUCCCGGUGGAUUAGAACAAAGUCUUCGUGAAUCCUCCACUUCCAGCCGACAUAAUGGGAAGUUCAACACCGUCACUCAACUAUUAGCUUAAAAGCAGCAAAAACUGUUGGUGUCAGCAGCAACUGCAACAGCAGUAUCAGCAUCGGUUUUUCACCUGCUGCGUCGUCGAAACCUUCGGUGGCCGGAUCCAAUUUCGGGUCGACUAUGCGAGACCGCGCCCCCACAAUCUGCAACAAUAGGCUGUGCUAAAUCCUAAGUUCAGACAAUAGGUACAAACAGUCUUACUCCCGUUCGAUGUGAUCAUAGAAUGAAAGCUACAGAUUUAGAGGAAUACUAGAGCUGAGAACGAGUUGCUGCGUAUGAGGACGAUAACAGCUAUUUUUUUUAGUGAAGUGCAGCAGUUGUAAUUGGAUCCACUAGAUGCAACAUAAUAAAAGGGGCGCUAAGACGGACGAAUGCUGUGGUCCUGUGUGUAUUCAUUGUAUACCGUGGAUUCCUCGCAAUGCAUGUGAAGACGUUUUAGCCUCAGGAGAUUGCCAUCGAUGCCAGUAUCAAUCUGCAGGAUAAUUGCACAUAAAAAGAAUCGUCCGUUCAACAUGACUUUUUUUUAACUCAUCGCUUUUGGGAUUUCUACAAACAGCUAAAUCGGACGAUGUCGAUUCGAUGAUGGACGUAAAAGAGCGAAAGGUUACUUAUAAUGGUUUACCGAACUCUUUGACUCCGAAGUUUGUCCCAACCAAGCAGCUGUUGCUGAUGACUAUGAGUUCGAUUACGUAGCUUUGUAGAGAUUAGCUAAAGGAAUUCUAGUAAUUUGAUGACAGCUCCAGAUGAUGUUGAAGUAAAUAAAUAACGAUUUUCCACUUUCACUGACGAGUUGUUACCUUGUCGCGAUAGCGAUGCCACAGACACGGUCAGUGAAUGCAUUCGUCGAGAAAGUGGGUGAAACUAUAUUUGGGCCCAGUCAUAGCUUCCCUACCGAUCACCCACCGUACAAUUAAUAGCUCUGGUAUGGAUGUCCUUCACGUGCCUACAUCGUAGCCUCCACCGCUUGGUCGGUCCAGUGAAAAAGAUGCAUGCACUAUACUUUUGUCGGAAGAUGAAUCCCUCAAAAAGCGUUUUGGCAGAAAAAACUAAACCCACAUUUCGAUUCGAUCACCCGGGAGUUUUUUUAGUUGCCAUAAGCAAUGAUACUAAUCUGCAGAAUGAUUCUGGUAGCCAUUUUUAUAGCCGUAACUUUUAACAUGCAACGUCAAAGAUGUAAAUGCGAGGAAAAUACAUUAAGAAAAAUUCAAUAAAAUAAAUUUGAAGAUGAUUUACCGUGAUUUACCAUCGAAAUAAACCUCCGGUGGUACAGAACAAGGUCAUCAACAAAAAAGCCCAGUAGCAACAGCAACAGAAGCAUCAAAGCUAGCCCAAAACUUUGAUUACGGAGGUGUUGAAAAACUAGUAUCUUGUCAACCAAUUUCGUAAAUUGAGUCUACCUUUUCGAAAAUUUCGGAGGGUACGAAACCGCAGCUAGACCAAGUAUAUCAACUACUUCAAUCAAUAUUCCUCCGUAUUUUCUCGGAUAAUGAUGAAGUUGUGAAAAAAUCGGGAUCUCAACCUACUAGGAAAACAAGUUCGACUGCUACCACUGCAUGUGCUAUAACAACAAUUGGUGCACCAACGUUCAGCUCCGGAACGAUGACUGGUAAUUUGAGUGAUUCUAUUUAAGAUCAGUAUUGGUCAGUGAGAUCAUCGAAAGGAAUUUUAUUGAACAAGUUUUUUUUAAUGUUAUUUUCAGUCAACAGAAAAAAAUUUUACGGGCAACGUUCGGCUGCAUCAAUUCGAUGGGUUCCAGAUUGAAAAGCGGGACAAGUAUUCACAUGAGAUGAAACUGCCAAUAUAAACGUACCAACCAAAUCAUUAAAAUCGUCGAGUGUUUCAACAGCAUCAGACAAACAGAUACCGCGGCCUGCCUAACCUACACUAUGAAGCACACAAGAAAAAAGUUCGACCUAAAUUCCUUGGCUGUGUACUCUGAAGGUAGUUAUGAUAAGUAAUGGAAGAGAAAGAGAAAUUGACGAACCAUCAGAUCUUACUAUUGCUAGAAUAGAAAUCAGGACAUUGAUGCCUGUCAAUAUUAAUAUUGUUCAAUAUUGACGCCAAUAAUGUGUUCUCACAAUUUGUCAUUAUAAUGUUUGUUAAUAUUUAAUAGACAUCUCAUACAAAAUAUGAAAAACAAAUAGAAAAAUCCAUUAAUUUGAGAAAAUUAGGUAAAGUCGGAGUGCUAUCGAUUUGGCCGACGAAGAAUCGAAUAAAGAGAAAUUCUGGUGCUCCUUUUUACGUGAAGACUUUUUUGAAACGUUUUUGUUAACAUUUUUAUCUUUAUUUUUAAUCUUUCAGAUUCUAUCGAAAUAUUCACAAACUGCUCUUCGAAGGCCCCAUUCUAAAAGAACUCUAGGUAGAUUGUAUGGAAUAUAUAUUUUUUACCACUCCCAACAAUGAAUAGAGCAAAUUAAUUUAAAAAAAAGGAAACCCAGUAGCGCCACGACCAAUGAAGAGCCGUCAUCUGGUGCUGGAAACGGUUCCGACGCAGUCAUUCCCUCAGUGGUUGCAUCAACAAUUUCCGUUCCGAAGGCCACCACCAUUCCUUCCAUCCCACCAGGAAUGUUCGCCCAACACAUCGUAUCAGCCGCUGCUUAUACCUCUUCUUGUGCCAUUACCGAUUAAGAAGCGGAAGAUGGUGACGACGAUUAUGCAUCGUUUCCAGCGAAUAUGAUCUUCGGUCAGUCAAAAUGGGCGAUGAAGAUUAGAAUCAGGUGUUCUGUGGCCGUUCAAAGUUGUUCAGGACGACAAACAGUUUAAGAGGCCUCGGCGAGUUGAAAUUUUGUGUAGCAAAACUGAUCCAAGCAAAUUUCGAAUUGUCAUGCGAGGCGAACAGAUGCACAAAAUUGCUGCCAACCAUUCGAUUGAAUAAGCUUGCGCCAAACAUCGCAAUGUUUUAUAGUCGAAGAGGCAGCAAACGAAUGUAUUAGAAGAACAAAAACUAAAAAAUAAACUAAUGAAAUAAAAAUCUAGCUUUUUGUAACAAAACCGAAAAACCUAAAUGAAUGGCAACAAUGCUAAUUGGCCCAGAAACGGUUCGAAAAACCGUUCUGUUUCGGUCCGAAAUCGGUCCUUUUUUACAGAUGGAUGCUAUGGCAAUCGGCCCAGAAUCGGUUCGAAAAAUCGUUCGGAUUCGGUCCGAAAUCGGUUCUUUUUUUCGGAUAGAGGCUAUGGCAAUCGACCCAGAAUCGGUUCGAAAAUUCGUUCGGUUUCGGUCCGAUAUCGGUCCUUUUUUCGGAUGGACGCUAUGGCAAUCGGCCCAGAAACGGUUCGAAAACCAUUAGGUUUCGGUCCGAAAACGGUUCGCUUGUUUUGACAUUUGAUCUGCUCGAACUGGUUGAAAAAACUUAUCGUCGUCCGAAAAAGUGUUUCAUUUUCGCACGAUUUUCUACUAAACUCGGCCCGAUUUCUUAUACGAUUUCGGACCGAUCGAGCAGAUGAA